CACUUCCGGGAUUGCCUCUUUAGCGACGAGUGAAGCGGCAAGAGCUCAGAUUUGAAAUCGUGCUUUGCGGCACGAGUUGUAGAUUGCAGGUUGGAGUCUGUGUGGAAGGCGGUGUCCAAGUCCCUUGGAACAGGGCGCCCAGGAGGGUGAGAGCCCCGUGGGAUGCCGGCGGAAGCAGUGAGGCCCUUCUGACGAGUCGAGUUGUUUGGGAAUGCAGCUCCAAGCGGGUGGUAAAUUCCAUCUAAGGCUAAAUACUGGCGAGAGACCGAUAGCGAACAAGUACUGUGAAGGAAAGAUGAAAAGCACUUUGAAAAGAGAGUGAAACAGCACGUGAAAUUGUUGAAAGGGAAGGGUAUUGCGCCCGACAUGGGGAUUGCGCACCGCUGCCUCUCGUGGGCGGCGCUCUGGGCUUUCCCUGGGCCAGCAUCGGUUCUUGCUGCAGGAGAAGGGGUUCUGGAACGUGGCUCUUCGGAGUGUUAUAGCCAGGGCCAGAUGCUGCGUGCGGGGACCGAGGACUGCGGCCGUGUAGUCACGGAUGCUGGCAGAAUCGGCGCAACACCGCCCGUCUUGAAACACGGAACC
rnacentral:rRNA from 1 species